CAAAAAAAACCAGUAUUAGGGGCGUUUUUGUCACAGGCGGCCACAGCAAACCGCCACUGUAGAUGGAAAUGAGGGGCUUUUUUGUGUGGCCGCCCGUGUAAAAUGAAGCCACCGCCGCCCGUGUAAAAUGAAAAAAGAAAACCUAAAAUCGAUUUUUUACCCCCAAAUCCCGCCUCUUCUCUCCCGCGCGCCUCCUCUCCCAAAAACCCUUCCCUCCUCUUUUCUCCCAAAACCCUUCUCCCCUCUUCUCUCCUCCCUUCAAUAACUGACCGAAACCCUCUCUCUCUCUCUCUCUCUCUCUCUCUCUCCUGUGAAGCACUGCGGGAUACGAUUGCUGCCCGCUGCAACUUAGAUCCGGCGAUACAUUAGCCAUCGACAUAUAUAGAUCCGGCGAUACAAAGCCGCACCGUCAAUCAUCUUCUCCAAUAAAGGUUCUCUUGAGCCUCCUGGAUCACUUAUUUCAAACAACAUUGUUGGGAUAACUCAGGGAUGGCCUGCUGCACGAAUGGCAUUGAAUAUGUUAAGGGCCGAUAUGCAUUGCUUUUACUACCUGCUGGCCUUUUCAAUGGUUGGCAAUUGUUUUACAUAGCCACUAGCCCUGUGCUGAUAUAGCUGUAGCUUAAAAAUCUUAUCUUUUGCAGUGUGUCUAGAGAUGGGCAUUGGAUUUUUUCAAGAACUCACAACAACAAAAUUUGCAUUGUUGGGAGACUUAUAAAAGAUGUUUUAUUUGUAGCUCAUCAGAUGAUCUUGGUAUGUGAUUAAGCAGAGAUGUUUUGAUUAUGAGGAAUCUCUCUAUUCAGCUGUUAGUGAUACCCUGGAGAAGUAUACUUUAUUUGCUUCUUGUUUUACUUGUUGGUUUGUCAUAAUGAAUAAAGUAGAUACCAUUCAAUUAGUUGGGCUUCUUUUGUUUUCUAUUUGGAUGAGUUUGUAAACUCCUAAGGAAAUAGUUUUUAUGUUUAUGCAAUUAAGAAAUAGACAACUAUUGGGACACCAGGACAAGGAAGUAAUGCUGCAUAUGAUGUGUUUGAUUGAUUGCCUGUAUGAAUUUGGUAGGUUUAGUUGACUAAUUUUUACUUAUCUAUUUAUGUGUUGCUUUCUUUAUAUUUGACAUUUUUUUAGUUAUUAAUGUUUUUUUUUUUGUUUGGGUUUGUUGUGACUUUCGGUGGAUUAUCUUUCUUGUGAGCAUCUUAGAGUUGGAGAGUCUAGUCAUGUUAGGUUCUUGUUUUUUUAAAGAUUCUGGUAAUGGGUUUUGGGUGAUUUUGUGUAUGCUGCAGGUUGUUGAUGCUGUAAGAUGCUUAUUGUCAAGACCAAGUGGAAAUGGUAAUCGAGAAGAUCCUUCAUCAGGUCUACAUGGUGGGAGGGGUAUGCUUGUAAUUUGGUUUUGCUUCUCUCCUCUUUUUUCUUCAUGUAUUUUUUCCACUUUAUUUCUGGGGAUUUUGUGGUGUGCCUAGGUCAAUAUUUUGAUUUGAAUGCAUCUCUUCAGCUGGGUGUUGUUGCUUGCUAGCGUGACUACGUGAUUAUUAGAAUGAGGGUGUUUGAGAAAAUUUCAAAACUAUGAGCUUGAUCCACUUGUUGCUUCAGUGGCAUAGUGUACUUGUUAUAGUGUGUUUGAUGCAUAUUUUGUAAGAGGUGACUAAUUGGAGUGCAGCACACCCGUUUCCUUUUUUGGUGCAUUGUGAUCAAAUUGCACGUGGCAAGGUUUGGAUCAUUCAGCAGCUUGAGGUAAAUACACAUUGAUUUGUUGUUGUUAGUCUAUAUCUUUUUACAGGAUACUGCUAUUGGCGUCAACAAUCGUCGGCUGGAAUUAAGGAAACCCCAUGUAAAUGUUGGGACUAUUGGACAUGUCAAUCAUGGGAAAACUACACUCACAGCAGCCAUUACAAAGGUACUUGCAGAAGAAGGUAAAGCUAAGGCUGUUGCCUUUGAUGAGAUUGACAAGGCAUCAGAGGAGAAAGCUCGAGGAAUUACCAUUGCAACGGUUAGGAUGCCAUUUUCUUUCUUGCAUCAUGCACAUUAUGUGUUG